AUCAUUUCAUUUAAUGACAAGACAAUAAGCUAAUAUUAUAACCAAUUAGAUAGCAGCAAGGAAAAGCCCCUCUAGACGCUCUAAAUUGAGUGUAAAUACGUCAUUGAUAGGCGCUUCCGACGAUCCCUCUAUUGUUUCGUAUUGGCUUCCGUUUGACGUCAUAUAUUGCAAACAAACUCUAUAUAUGGUGUGAUUAUGACACUUUCGACUUCGUAGGAACAAAGCUCUGUUCGUAAUCCACAUCUAAUUUAUUUUGCCAUUAACAAAUAUUACUUCCGAAACAAAGGCCUUCCUUCCUAAGUUGAAAACUUCGAAUCUGAAAACGAUCAUUACUGUAGUUUUGUAGGAAGGGUCAGCGAUUUAAUUCGUAUACCCUAGAGAGUCUUCAACUCAAAUAAACACAUCGCUUGGCCAAUCUUCCUCACUUACACAGUAUUAAAGAAAACCAUCUGAGUUGGAAGAAAAUAUUAAUAACAUUAUAGAACCAGAAAGUGAACAAAAAUAGGCCGAGCCUCGAAAUAGACCAGAAUUUACUCUUCUAAAUGUGCCGAUGAUAUUUGAGGGCGAUUUUGUAUUGCAGGAGUCAAAAUGAUAUAAAGCAUCGCAUCAUUAACGAAAACUUAAUUCCGUCUGGUCAACGAAGGCGUUGAUCAUUAGCUUGCAAUUGCCAAGAUGAAAAGCAAAAGGAACUCAUUUUACCCAAAGUGCACUCUCUAGAGGGGAGAAACUAAAAAUAGAACAUUAAUCAAGAGACACAAAGCGGAGAAAAUGUAACGCUGAAUACGUUGAUAAAUAGUACCGAUAAAUAUUACAGCGCAGUAUUUUGUACGAUAAUCAGUCAUUUUCCAAGGUUCACUUGUCCCUUAAGAAAAAACGAAGCACUGAAGAUGUCAGUUUAGAAUAAAAGCCCCCUCACCACUAACUUCCUCUCUGAAAAUAAAUACCGAACAGGGUCUCAUUUUUUUUCUUUAACCAGAGUAAGUCUACUUUCAGUUGGGUCCUUUUCUACAGCAAAACAUAACCAUUUGAGCCUGCCAGCAUAAGUAGAAUGGCAACAAGGAAAGAGUUAAAAACCCCAGCCCAAGGUAAUUGUAUGCCUCAAGCUUGUGUGUGGAGAGUUGAGGCCCUAUAACCUGGAAACUUGUACAUACACCUUCCAGAUUUCAUCUAAACAAGAGACAUUAUUUCUUGAUCUUUUAUUACAUAAUUAAGGCCAAAAUCUUGAAUGCAAGGUAGAAAUAUAACACGAAUUUCACAAGAUGUUACUGCCUAAA